rnacentral:rRNA from 1 species
AUUGAACGCUGGCGGCAGGCCUAACACAUGCAAGUCGAGCGGGGUUUUCGGACCUAGCGGCGGACGGGUGAGUAAUGCGUAGGAAGCUACCCGAUAGAGGGGGAUACCAGUUGGAAACGACUGUUAAUACCGCAUAAUGUCUACGGACCAAAGUGUGGGACCUUCGGGCCACAUGCUAUCGGAUGCGCCUACGUGGGAUUAGCUAGUUGGUGAGGUAAUGGCUCACCAAGGCGACGAUCCCUAGCUGGUU